UGGGGAAUAUUGGACAAUGGGCGCAAGCCUGAUCCAGCCAUGCCGCGUGAGUGAUGAAGGCCUUAGGGUUGUAAAGCUCUUUCGCCGGUGAAGAUAAUGACGGUAACCGGAGAAGAAGCCCCGGCUAACUUCGUGCCAGCAGCCGCGGUAAUACGAAGGGGGCUAGCGUUGCUCGGAAUCACUGGGCGUAAAGCGCACGUAGGCGGAUCGUUAAGUCAGGGGUGAAAUCCUGGAGCUCAACUCCAGAACUGCCCUUGAUACUGGCAAUCUCGAGUUCGAGAGAGGUUGGUGGAAACUCCGAGUGUAGAGGUGAAAUUCGUAGAUAUUCGGAAGAACACCAGUGGCGAAGGCGGCCAACUGGCUCGAUACUGACGCUGAGGUGCGAAAGCGUGGGGAGCAAAACAGGAUUAGAUACCCUGGUAGUCCACGCCGUAAAACGAUGGAUGCUAGCCGUUGGGGGGUUUACCUCUCAGUGGCGCAGCUAACGCCUUAAGCAUCCCGCCUGGGGAGUACGGUCGCAAGAUUAAAACUCAAAUGAAUUGACGGGGUCAUAGCUGUUUU
rnacentral:rRNA from 1 species